CAGCAGCCGCGGGAAUACGAAGGGCGCAAGCGUUAAUCGGAAUUACUGGGCGUAAAGCGUGCGUAGGCGGUGAGUUAAGUCUGCUGUGAAAUCCCCGGGCUCAACCUGGGAAUGGCAGUGGAUACUGGCUCGCUAGAGUGUGUCAGAGGAUGGUGGAAUUCCCGGUGUAGCGGUGAAAUGCGUAGAGAUCGGGAGGAACAUCAGUGGCGAAGGCGGCCAUCUGGGACAACACUGACGCUGAGGCACGAAAGCGUGGGGAGCAAACAGGAUUAGAUACCCCGGUAGUCCCUGUCUCUUAUAA
rnacentral:rRNA from 1 species